GAUGAACGCUGGCGGCGUGCCUAAUACAUGCAAGUCGAGCGAACAGACGAGGAGCUUGCUCCUCUGACGUUAGCGGCGGACGGGUGAGUAACACGUGGAUAACCUACCUAUAAGACUGGGAUAACUUCGGGAAACCGGAGCUAAUACCGGAUAAUAUUUUGAACCGCAUGGUUCAAUAGUGAAAGACGGUUUUGCUGUCACUUAUAGAUGGAUCCGCGCCGCAUUAGCUAGUUGGUAAGGUAACGGCUUACCAAGGCAACGAUGCGUAGCCGACCUGAGAGGGUGAUCGGCCACACUGGAACUGAGACACGGUCCAGACUCCUACGGGAGGCAGCAGUAGGGAAUCUUCCGCAAUGGGCGAAAGCCUGACGGAGCAACGCCGCGUGAGUGAUGAAGGUCUUCGGAUCGUAAAACUCUGUUAUUAGGGAAGAACAAAUGUGUAAGUAACUAUGCACGUCUUGACGGUACCUAAUCAGAAAGCCACGGCUAACUACGUGC
rnacentral:rRNA from 1 species